AUUGAACGCUGGCGGCAGGCCUAACACAUGCAAGUCGAGCGGAGCGGCGGACGGGUGAGUAAUGUAUAGGAACGUGCCCGGUAGCGGGGGAUAACUUCCGGAAAGCGGAGCUAAUACCGCAUACUAUCAGAUGAGCCGAGGUCGGAUUAGCUAGUUGGUGGGGUAAAGGCCUACCAAGGCGACGAUCCGUAGCUGGUCUGAGAGGAUGAUCAGGCACACUGGGACUGUGACACGGUCCAGACUCCUACGGGAGGCAGCAGUGGGGAAUUUUGGACAAUGGGCGAAAGCCUGAUCCAGCCAUGCCGCGUGUGUGAUGAAGGUCUUCGGAUUGUAAAGCACUUUUAGUUGGGAGGCGUUACCAACAGAAUAAGCACCGGCUAACUUCGUGCCAGCAGCCGCGGUAAUAC
rnacentral:rRNA from 1 species